AUCCAGCUGACGAGUCCCCGAUGGGACGAGAAGCGCCUCCUGGAU
rfam:Schistosoma rodhaini strain Burundi genome assembly, scaffold: SROB_scaffold0004209